UUUUAAGUCACCGACGCGGCCGGUGGGAAAAAUUUCAAGCCAUCCUAUUUAACCCACGAUCCGGACUCAUCUAACCCUAAUCCCCAUUCUCUCUGCCCCCUCAGCUGCGACGACUGCCCGCUGCUGAUUCUGGCGAUUCUGAUGGCUAUCCCCGACGAUGAGCACACCACGGAUCUCCCCUCACUCGGGUGCAUCCUCCCCUCCGGCAAGAUUUUCCCCUCUCAGCCUCUACCACUCGCCCAAAACACACACCCGAUCUAGGGUUUCGUCCUCCGACAUAGCCUUCAUCGUCGGCGCAUCUCUGGCGUCCUCUAGCGGCUCUUCUCCAUCAUCUGUAGCGCCACCUGACGCGCUCUCACCUCCUAAUGGUCCACCUCGAGCUGGGCGGCGGGGAGGAACUCCUCUCAUGGGAUCCACGGACGCGGUGCACCCUGCAGCCAUUGGUCCGAGACGAGGGCUGGCACCACGGCUUGUCUUGGUCGACGACGGUUGCGGUGAAUAUCGAUGCUGCUCCUCAUCCGCAAACUCCUAGGACGAGUGCCAGUACAGCAUAAGCACGCCCCGCCCCUGAACAAUGGCCUUGGCGCUAGGAUGCCCUCCUCCUCAAAGAAUCCAUCCCCGAUGAGCUCCCUUCGCCGGAGGUGGAGCAACAAGUCCAACACCUGCUAGCCUCUUGUGUCCUAUCGCGCAUGGACAAUCUCACCAAUGGUUGCAUCUUCCUUCCCUCCUACCGUGGUGACCUUAUCCCCUCUCCCCACUUUAACCCCAAAUCUGGAUGACACUUGCAAUCUGAAUAAAAAUCAUGUUUUGCUUCAGUUUAGAGGUGGAUUCAGUUUCUGAGAUGAACGUCUGAGCUUGAUUAGUUGUGAUGGUUUUGCGGGUCUGAUUCUCUUGCACUAUUACACAUAAUUUAAUUAGGGCAAGCUAAUGCUAAUCUAGAUAAUAUAAUGUUACAUGCACAGGAGCUCCCCUCUCGUGAUUUUUAUUUCCUUUUAUGUGAUCAUGCAGAAAAAGAAUGUAUCUAUGCGUAGUAAAUAUCCAGCAUGAUUUUGUUAAAGCCUUGGAUGUAUAAUAGGCCAAAGCAAGGACUGUGCCGGAUUGAGCAGUGUAAUGGAAUUGUAACUCCAAGCUAUUGUGGCAUGUCAUCUGCCUUCAAAACAAAAUUAUGUGAGCAUUUCCUUGUUCCACACACUCCUCUUAAUUUGCACCGAUUUGAUUCAACUGUGUGUACAGAAAAUACACCUUGCUUUUUUGUUGUACUGUUUUUGUUUCAAAUUUGCUAGACUAAAUACAUGCACAAAUAUCAAUGCUAGACUUGCCCAGAUUGUUUUAUGAUAACUGCAUACCAAUAGAUUAUGAUCUUGAGUUGUUACUUAUUUGAUAAAGGUCGGGGUAAUCACAUCUAUAACUUACUAUGAUUACUAGCAGCUCACCACAGGUAACCAGGCUGCAUUAUUUGCCUUAGUUACUUGCAAAAUAUGUGGUGCAAUGAUCUUAGUUAUGAGGUUGUGAGAUGUUAUCCAAGAUUAGCUACAUCAGCCGCGAGUAUUGCAGCAUUUGCGAUAAAUUGGCUCUGUCAUGUAAAAUAAUACACCCUACUCUUGUAACUUUCAACAGAAUGGAAACUAUAUAAGAAUUACAAAAAGUGUUUUCAAUUCAGAGUGCUCUAAUGACAAUGUUCCUCCUAAUUCAUUCUAUGGAUAUGAAGAAGAAUAAUGAUCUAUUAGUAAAAAAAAGUUGGCAAUGCUCCUAAAAUGUAUUUGUCCCUGUUGCAACGCAUGGGCAAUUACCUAGUUAAGAUGAAAAAGAGUUUGUUUCCUUUCUGUUUUGAUGUUUUCCUUUAUUACCAGAAUAAAAAGUAUUGCUUAUGUUAUUUAUUUCUUACAGUGGGUACGAAAGUGCCUCUUCUUGACUUACUUUUUAUACUUUUCAGAGUUUCACAUACUUUAUAUUUCAGAGCACUUGAGAGACUGCAUCGUAGGAAAUUCAGAAUGCUUUCAUAGAGUGAUUCAGGUUUAGUGUAGUGAAUAGCCUGGAACUUCAUGUCAAAUAAUCAAAGUGGAGUAUAAUACCAACUCCAUUGAUAUAUGUAUGCUCAUCAUUCCUUUUUGUUCCCAUCGGUUGUUUCUUUUCACAUGAUUGAUUUUGUUGCACUACUUUGCAUCAUGGGAGUGAAAAAAAUAUAGGACUUGAUAAUGUGUACUCCCUUCCUUCCUAAAUAUAAGUCUUUUAGAAAUUUUAAUAUGGACCACAUACGGAAAAAAAUGAGUGAACCUACACUUCAAAAUAUGGCUAUAUUCAUUCAUAUGUACUCCAUAUUUAAAUCUCUUAAAAGACUUAUAUUUAGGAACGAAGGGAGUAGUAAGUUACUUCUAGUUUAACCUACUAGCUGUAAUAUUUUAUAUUGUGACAUAUUUUUCAUCAUGUGGCGGAUAUUGUUUUAUGGGAGCAUCUUCAACAACGAAGACAUGUGUUCUCAAGACUUUGGUGUGGAUGGGUGGACCUAAUGGCUAGGAAUGUGGGAUGACCCGUGAUUGAUGUCUGACGAGCAUUGGGCCUUGCUUGAUGGGGCCAGUGCUGAUUGUAGAGUAGCAUAGUGUCGUUCGAGAUAUGCUUGUAAAAUUAAAAAAAUUGGUCAUUUUUUUCUCAUGUACAUGUAUUUUAUAGUGUGUUUACAUAUUUUUGUUUUUUCAAUGAUAUGAGCACAUAUUUUUGUCAAA